UACGUAGGGGGCAAGCGUUGUCCGGAAUCAUUGGGCGUAAAGCGCGCGUAGGCGGCCCGGUAAGUCCGCUGUAAAAGUCAAAGGCUCAACCUUUGAAUGCCGGUGGAUACUGUCGGGCUAGAGUCCGGAAGAGGCGAGUGGAAUUCCUGGUGUAGCGGUGGAAUGCGCAGAUAUCAGGAGGAACACCAGUAGCGAAGGCAGCUCGCUGGGACGGUACUGACGCUCAGGCGCGAAAGCGUGGGGAGCAAACAGG
rnacentral:rRNA from 1 species